UACGAGGGGGGCAAAUGUUGUUCGGAAUCACUGGGCGUAAAGUGAGCGUAGGCGGGUUUCUAAGUCAGGUGUUUAAUCCCGGGGCCCAACCCCGGACAGGCACUUGAAACUGGGAAUCUUGAAUAGUGGAGAGGUCAGUGGAAUUGGGGGUGUAGCGGUGGAAUGCGUAGAGAUCCCCAAGAACACCAGUUGCGAAGGCGGCUGACUGGACACAUAUUGACGCUGAGGCUCGAAAGCAUGGGGAGCAAACAGG
rnacentral:rRNA from 1 species